CCUACGGGAGGCAGCAGUGGGGAAUCUUGCGCAAUGGACGAAAGUCUGACGCAGCCACGCCGCGUGAGUGAAGAAGGCCUUCGGGUUGUAAAGCUCUGUCGAGCGGGACGAAAAAUUUAUAGGUGAAUAGCCUAUAGAUCUGACGGUACCGCUAAAGGAAGCACCGGCUAACUCCGUGCCAGCAGCCGCGGUAAUACGGAGGGUGCAAGCGUUGCUCGGAAUUAUUGGGCGUAAAGGGUAGGUAGGUGGUCUCAUUUGUCUGGGGUGAAAGCCUUGAGCUUAACUCAAGAAGUGCCCCAGAAACGGUGAGACUAGAGUCUUGGAGAGGGUCGUGGAAUUCCCGGUGUAGCGGUGAAAUGCGUAGAGAUCGGGAGGAACACCAGAGGCGAAGGCGGCGACCUGGACAAGUACUGACACUCAACUACGAAAGCGUGGGGAGCAAACAGGAUUAGAUACCCUGGUAGUCCACGCUGUAACGUAGUAGGUACGUAGGUUAGGUUGGGUCGUUCGUACCCCGCCCGGACCGGCGCGUACGACACUAACGUACCCGCCGUCGGAGGUACGGUCGCGAGACGUAAACGUACAANAGUAAGUUAGUACGGUUCGUUGUAGACGUUGCCGACGGCGACGACGAGGGAGGAGG
rnacentral:rRNA from 1 species